rnacentral:rRNA from 1 species
GAUGAACGCUAGCGGCAGGCUUAAUACAUGCAAGUCGAGGGGCAGCGGGGGGUAGCAAUACCUGCCGGCGACCGGCAAACGGGUGCGGAACACGUACACAACCUUCCUUUAAGUGGGGGAUAGCCCAGAGAAAUUUGGAUUAAUACCCCGUAACAUUGUUGAGUGGCAUCACUUGGCAAUUAAAGCUCCGGCGCUUGAAGAUGGGUGUGCGUCUGAUUAGGUAGUUGGUAGGGGUAACGGCCCACCAAGCCAGCGAUCAGUAACUGGUGUGAGAGCACGACCAGUCACACGGGCACUGAGACACGGGCCCGACUCCUACGGGAGGCAGCAGUAAGGAAUAUUGGUCAAUGGACGCAAGUCUGAACCAGCCAUGCCGCGUGGAGGAUGAAGGUCCUCUGGA